ACAUUGGGGAGAUGUCUCCGUGGCUGAAGCAACAAAGCCAGUAUUAGAGAGUUAUCGCAACAAGUGUGAGUUUACCAUCGGCAAGAGUGUAGAUGGCAUUGAUAACACUGUUGGUUUCCGGCUUGGCGCUUACAAAAGUCUUGACCCACAAGAUAACUAUUCCACGAGAACCUCUGACGUACCGGUGACUGGCGCUGCCGUAAAGGAUCCUUAUCACUAUCUGACACAACAGCACUUCACCUCAGAGAUCUUCAAGAUUGAGAUCCAAAACCUCCCAAGACAUUUUGGAUUUGCGGUUCCCUGAAGUCCAUCCAGAUGAUCCUUAAUAAGACAGCAGACGGUACAGGCAUAGACUCCAACACCCUGGCCUUACGGGUGAAGACCCAUCCUGAGCUGAGGGACUAGCUCCAUGUCGUCACCUCAUGGGGGCCUUUGCCUGUCUACCCUGGGGUGGUCAACUCAGAAUUACCUGAGGAAGUACGGUACCUGUCCUCACGGAGGCUACGGUCUCGGACUGGACGAUUCUUGACCUGGAUCCUAAACCGAAUGCAUAUCAGGGACGUCUGCUUCUACCCACGCUUCAUAAAACGAUGCAUGCCAUAGAUGCGUCAACAUGUCACCUUCAAUUCUUGAUUCUAAGCAUUGCUUAAUAUUUAGUGUGGGAAAUCAAGAUUAAUAAGGGGUGGGGCUAGGUUGAUCAAGUGGGGGGGGGGUGAUUGUAUGCCCUAAGACCAAAUUUCUAGAGAUAAUUAUGCCAUUGUAUUGUAAGGUAUCUCUUCAAGGUGCAGUUUUAAACCUUCUUUACAGUUCGCUCUUUUAGUUUCAAGUAGUUUUGGGGUUUUUUUACCAAAACUCAUAACAAAUUGCAAGGGUUCAACCUAACAUUUCUUAUGAAAUCUGGCCAAAACAGGACUUGCCUCCAAAUGACUCGGCAAUGCCCUACGAUGUAAGAUGAGUUUCAAUCAGUGUUCAAAAAUCCAUUUUUAUGAAGAUUUGAGCAAAAAUUACUGGUUUAUUGAUUGGAAA